GGCAUUCUAGGCCAAGGGGUCACAGUCCACCCUGAACUGUGCCUCCCAGCCUGAAGCCAGAAAGCUCAGGGAGGCUAGCGGCCCUGCCCAGGCCUCAGCACUGACCCUGCACCCCUAGGCCCAGCUGGAUGACCCCUAAGAGCUUCCUGGAAUUUGGAUGCAGGGUUAUUCUGUGUGUGCUGCCUCUCAGAGCAUGUCACUUUGACGUGGACAUCUCGGGUCUGGUUCUGGUGCUGUCCCUGUCUCGCCACGUGACCCUGGAUAAGUCAUCUCUCCAGGCCUUGAUUUCCCCAUCUGUAAACAGAGGAACCCAAGGAACGAGUGGGCUCUAACUGCUGCAGCAUAUGGGAGAUGCCAGGAGGAGCUGGCUGUGGCAGGCCAUCCCAGUCCAUCAGACAACUUGUAGUGGAUGAAGAUGCAGUGUCCAUGGCCAGAAGAAACUCCCGUGGAUGCUCAGGCCAAGGCUGCCAGAAGCACGAGGAGGGGCAGCAUUGAGUGUCAUCGGGAAAAGGCAAAGUGAUGGUCCUGAAGCUGCCCCAUGUGGCCAGUCCCUUUUUGGGAAGCCUGAAUAAAUCCAUUUCCUGUGCACUGUGUGGGAAGCCAACCCCUCUUCAGAGCACCUCUGAACUCAACAGGAUCCUACACUUCUUAUAGGCCUGGCUUGAUGCUGACAUCCUUCAGCCCCAGGGAAGACCUAAAGAUCUCCAGGUCUUGAGGCACCUGGAACACCUCCACCUGAGACCACUUUAACAUGAUUUCUCUGCUUGAGGGAUUUUGGACCAUGCUGUGUGUAUUCAGCCCUAAAACAUGGGCGAGUGCCCGCUUGCAGUUCAAAUUCUCAGAGGAAGUUCCCUGUACUCCACCCAGUGCCAAGUUUAGUUUGUGCAAAUUUCCUUAAUGUCCCCUCCUGUACAACAGGCUUAUUUGGUGUUAACCCUCAUAUCGGGGGUCUAACUCUUUGCUUUUCCAGCUUUUGUGCUGGAAUAUCCCAUUAAACUGUCCAUGUUGGGUAUUUUUUCUUUGUUAGUAAACAUUUGUUGCAUAUUGUUGAUAGCAUUUUAGAUUUGAAGAAAUAACUGACAAAAUCAAUAUCAUCUGUUUCAUCAUUA
rnacentral:lncRNA from 10 species